rnacentral:rRNA from 1 species
GAUGAACGCUGGCGGCGUGCCUAAUACAUGCAAGUCGAGCGAACAGAUGAGAAGCUCGCUUCUCUGAUGUUAGCGGCGGACGGGUGAGUAACACGUGGGUAACCUACCUAUAAGACUGGGAUAACUCCGGGAAACCGGGGCUAAUACCGGAUAAUAUUUUGAACCGCAUGGUUCGAUAGUGAAAGACGGUUUCGGCUGUCACUUAUAGAUGGACCCGCGCCGUAUUAGCUAGUUGGUAAGGUAACGGCUUACCAAGGCGACGAUACGUAGCCGACCUGAGAGGGUGAUCGGCCACACUGGAACUGAGACACGGUCCAGACUCCUACGGGAGGCAGCAGUAGGGAAUCUUCCGCAAUGGGCGAAAGCCUGACGGAGCAACGCCGCGUGAGUGAUGAAGGUCUUCGGAUCGUAAAACUCUGUUGUUAGGGGAGAACAAAUUUGUUAGUAACUGAACAAGUCUUGACGGUACCUAACCAGAAAGCCACGGCUAACUACGUGCCAGCAGCCGCGGUAA